AUUGAACGCUGGCGGAAUGCUUUACACAUGCAAGUCGAACGGCAGCACGGACUUCGGUCUGGUGGCGAGUGGCGAACGGGUGAGUAAUGUAUCGGAACGUGCCCAGUCGUGGGGGAUAACGUAGUGAAAAUUACGCUAAUACCGCAUACGAUCUAUGGAUGAAAGCGGGGGAUCGCAAGACCUCGCGCGAUUGGAGCGGCCGAUAUCAGAUUAGGUAGUUGGUGGGGUAAAGGCCCACCAAGCCAACGAUCUGUAGCUGGUCUGAGUGGACGACCAUCCACACUGGAAAUGAGACACGGUCCAGACUCCUACGGGAAGCAGCAGUGGGGAAUUUUGGACAAUGGGCGAAAGCCUGAUCCAGCCAUUCCGCGUGCAGGAUGAAGGCCCUCGGGUUGUAAACUGCUUUUGUACAGAACGAAAAGGUUUCUACUAAUACUAGGAGCUCAUGACGGUACUGUAAGAAUAAGCACCGGCUAACUACGUGCCAGCCGCCGCGGUAA
rnacentral:rRNA from 1 species